AAGAUGCUAACAUUUUCUUCCAGGAAAAGUUAGCCGUUACAUUCCCUCCAAAUUCAAAUUUCCAAUUUUUCUUUUUUUUUUAUUUUUUUUAUUUUUUGAAGUAGUUCCUUAAGAAAUCUCUUUUUGCAACAAACGACUCAUUCUUUCCUUUACAAAGACGAAACAGUGAGAAGAAGCACAUCCAAUCCAAGAUGGAGAGAAAAACAGCAUUGCUCUUCUCAACACCCAAAAGCCAUUCUUUCUUUUGUGUACGUAUCAUUGCUUAUAUAUGUUUGCUCAUUUUGAUUCCAACAGCUGACCUCACAAAACCCAAAAUUCGAUCUUUUAACGAAAACCCCUUUUUGAAUUCUCACCAUCAAUUGAAUCGCUUAUGUCUUUAAGCCCAACUCGUCUCGGCAACAAUGGCGGCAGCGGCAGCGGCACCGGAACCUACCAGCUUUACUGGUGCUACCAGUGCCGUAGAGCGGUCAGAUUAGCCCCUAACACCAACCCUUCCGAGAUCCUUUGCCCUCGUUGCUUCGGCCAUUUCCUCUGCGAAAUGGAUGCAGAAAGGCCCAGUAGGAUUGUCGAUUUCACCGAUUUCGAUCUCUCUCCGGGAGCUCGAUUACUCGGAGCGCUGACCCUAAUGCUUGAUCCUCGGAUAAGGAGAGGCUUAUUUGGAGAUCCGGAGACGGAACAGGAAACAACCAGUCCGUUGUUCCGGAGGCGACAAACCCAAGAAGGUGCAGAUGCUCGGGAUCCAGAAGCUCAAAUAUUUCAAGGAGCACCUCCGCGGUCGAGAAGGCGGCAGCGGCGAAACCGGAGCUUCGACGGGACGAAUUGGGUCCGGGAAACCACCAUGGAAGAAAAUGAAAACCAACCUGGGGCGUGGAUUCUACUAAGACCCCUGGAUCCUUCUAACCCUUUCUCGCCCAUUUUCAGUCGGGAAAAUUCCCGAACACCUGGUGUGGAUCCCAGAAACUACUUUUUCGGACCGCGUUUAGAUGAACUGACCGAGGAACUGACGCAGAACGACAGACCGGGACCCCCUCCGGCACCGGAAUCGGCAAUCGGUAAGAUUCCGACUGUGAAAAUCAUUGAGGCGCAUCUGAAAAAUGACUCGCCGCAGUGUCCGGUUUGCAUGGAGGAGUUCAAGGUGGGUGGUGAGGCAAAAGAAUUGCCAUGCAAACACAUAUACCAUUAUGACUGUAUUGUUCCUUGGCUGCGACUUCACAAUUCUUGCCCUGUCUGUCGGCACGAGUUGCCGGUAUCGCCAGGUUAAUCCACAUUCGCACCCUGAUUCCACUCCUUCUCGACCCGGACCUGCUGCUAGCUCAUGGCGGCAUUCUUGCUACAUUCUUUAGCACUUUGUAUAUGGAUGACAUUUGUAUGGACUUUUAUGGUUGAAAUCUUUGUUAGGAUCACUUUAAGAUUUUAUACUACUAUUUCUGGCCUCACUCUUGGGAGGGUUACUGUGGAGAUUGACCUUAUCGAUUUAUCAUUGAAUUAUUCUGAGUGUAGCUGAUUCUUCACCUAAUCUCGGCCUAAAGCAUGCUUGGGAAAACUCAAAAAGGGCGUUCUCAGUGUUCUGAGAGAUGCUCUAAUUCAUGCAAAACACGUAAAAAAUAAAUAAAUAACUAAACAAAAAGAAAAGUAGAUGUUCUUUUAUAUGCCUAUGAAAAUGUACAGUACAUUAUUAUGCAAUAAUUCAAAGUUAGAGAAUUAUUUGUAAUUUCAUUCAUACAUUGUGUUUCGAAGCAACUGACAAUCAACAUCUAAUCAUCAAU